rnacentral:rRNA from 1 species
UAAAACGUAGGAGGCGAGCGUUAUCCGGAUUUACUGGGUGUAAAGCGCGUGCAGGCGGUCGUGUAAGUGGUGCGUGAAAGCUCCCGGCUCAACCGGGAGAGGACGUGCCAAACUGCAGGGCUAGAGGCAGGUAGAGGCGUGUGGAAUUCCGGGUGUAGUGGUGAAAUGCGUAGAGAUCCGGAGGAACACCAGUGGCGAAGGCGACACGCUGGGCCUGGCCUGACGCUCAGACGCGAAAGCAUGGGGAGCGAACGGG